UAUCAUUGGUAAAUGGACCAGAAGAGUCAUCAUAAGCUAGCUAGAAAAAAAUAUAAGGGAAUACUUGACAUAGGAUGACCCAACAUGAUAUAGAAACUUAUACAUGUGACAUACGGGUCUCUGAGGCCGACACGAUCAUUUGUAUAUUCAAAACAUAGGCCAACAAGGCCAUACAGGUAUCGACAUACAUGAAAUCUGUCUACAAGCCUAUAAGAGUACAUAAACUUUAUGAAGGUCGGGUCAUGCCCUACCGUACCGAUCAAUUCAUGUCCAAAUAAUACUGACCAAUUGGCAACUCCUGAGCAGUGCACCGACACCUUCUGCUGAGCUGAUAGCCUAUUAUGAGGACUGCCAACCUAUAUAUCGAAAUAUACAUGCAUAAAAUGCAGCAUCCCAGGAAAAAGGGACGUCAUUACAAAUAAAGUACCGAGUAUGUAAGGAAUGAAAAUCAGUAUAUAAAAGAUAGGAAGAAACAUGGAGUAAAGAACUCAACAUGUAUGUUUGAAUAGCUUUGUGAAUCAUGAAAUAUUUAUAAUGUCAUGCAUAUGCAUAUAAAUAUAAAAUCAUGCAUGGGUAUAUGAGCACAUAACAUCAUCAAGCCUCUGAGGUCAUCCCAUCAUAUCAUCUCGGCCUCUGUGGGCGAAAGCAUAAACGUAUACCAGCUGAUCAGGUGGUGGUGCAUAUAUAAAACCAUAACCUCUUUUAAAACCCCAUAUAUAUAUANNNNNNNNNNNNNNNNNNNNNNNNNNNNNNNNNNNNNNNNNNNNNNNNNNNNNNNNNNNNNNNNNNNNNNNNNNNNNNNNNNNNNNNNNNNNNNNNNNNNNNNNNNNNNNNNNNNNNNNNNNNNNNNNNNNNNNNNNNNNNNNNNNNUAUAUAGAAUGCCAUCUGACCUUGAGUGAAUGUAUAUAUAUAAAUGAAUGCAAUGUAGAAUCAAGUAACUUAAUAAGAUCUCUCGAAUGUCAUAAAUUCAAUAUGCUUUCGGUUUAAAUUAAUCAACUUACUUAUUUCUGAGACACAUGAACAGAUGAUAUAAUAAUAGGAUACAUGGGGAAUCACGAACAUAGGUACCCAUAAUACUUCUAUAAAUAGAGUCAUUUAUGAAAGUUGUGCCUUUGCUCGUUGUGUUUAUAUCACAUGAAUCACUCCAAAGGAAAGAAAGUAUAGUCUUAACCCACUGGUUCAAGAGCCCAACUCGACUCGAAUCCAAUUUACGAUCUCGUUCAUUUAUCCUUUUUACAACAUUUUUCUUUACUAUUCCAUAGUUACCUUGUCAUCGUUGGUUCCUUUUCACAUCUUCAAUGACAUUUUACUUGCCUUGCGGUAACCCUUCUGUACGAAGGAUAACUGAAUUUCUUAUGCACGAGGUGACACCUAGUGUAACUGGCACACUUAGUCCCUUUGCUGUCCCUAAUCCUUUUUCAAUUUAUCUUGUUCUCAAGCCAUACAGAUUUUUAAUACUCUGGGGGUCCAACUUUUCCUUCUGGUAAUCAUGUUAAUCACCAACUUAUUGCUCAAAAUGAGGAUAUUAAUUUAUGGCUUAUAUUCUUUUAUUGUAUAAAGGCAUGUAUCCUCUGUCUUUUCUUUCACUUGACUAUAGGAUAUGUCAUCAUGGCAUAUUUUGAUUUAUCGUUAUGACCCAUAUAUCACAUCAUGUUCGUAAUGCUUCAUUUACUCUCUUCUUAUUCUCCUGCUAAUAUUUCUGUCUAUCACUUUAUUCUGAAAACUUCAAUAAAAUAUUUUUUUACUUUUAGCUCCUUUUUCCUAUCCAGUGGCUCUUCGGGUCGCUUAACAUCCUCUCUUUGCUAGGGACUAGAGCCACAGUAAGUUAAAGAUAUAUUCCUUCUAGGAUUCCAUUGCCCAUCUAUUAAAAUUUCUGAUCAUUCUAGUAUUCAAAUAUGACUGUACUGUUAAAGAGUGCACCAUAUAGGCAUCACACAAGGAGAUAUAUUACAACGUUUUCACAAUCCUUCUUAUAUGUUAGCUAAUGAUAACAACCCAUCCAACAUUUGUGGUUAUUCUAACACAAUCAGAUCCUGAUAUCUCAUUCUUAUCUUAAACUAUAUAUAUCUCUGUUACGGUUGAAGGUAACUCAAAAAGCUUAUAUCUUCCUCCUUGGAUUGUAAAUAAUGAUAAUCUUUACUAACUUGGUACCUCGUACUCUUCUUCACCUUGCUUCAUUUACUUGUUGAAGCUUGUAUCUACCUUCUGAUUCUCUUAUUGAUUUUUACCAUAUGGGUGGAUAGAUAUUCAUACCUUAAGGCUCCUUAUCAAGAAGCUUACACGUCGGAGUACACACAUGAUCUGUUGAAUACCUUGCAUUUACUCACCAUAAGCAUCAUGCAAAAUCGAAUUCCUCUGACUCAACUCUUCCGCAUCCAUAUGCAAUCUCUUACAAACUGUCUUUGUAGAUGUAGGUAUCAUUCUUUUAUGAAUACAAUAAAGUUUAGGAGUUUGAAUUCUUACAACUAAGCCCUACCACAUGAUCUUGACAGUCCAAAAAGCCCUGUAGCCUCCUGCUUAUAAGUUUGGUACAAAACACACCUAUAGACAACUCUACUAGACAUGGCUUGUAGAUUCCCUAGGAUAGAAUUGCACCGAUACCACUUUUGUUACAAGCCAAACCGCAAGACUACGAUGGGCACCCAGUGCUUUAUUCAAUCGAGUAACAACAUAGCAUAUCUUUCAUAUUAUACUAUCAUUGGUAAUUGGACAAGAAGUGUCGUAAUCAGCUAACUAGAAAAACAUAUAAGGGAAUACUAGACAUUGGAUGACCCAACAUGAUAUAGAAACCUAUACAUGUGACAUACGGGUCUAUAUGGCCGACACGAUUAUUUGUAUAUUAAAAAUAUAGGCCGACAAGGCCAUACAAGUAUCCAUAUACAUGACAUCUGUCUACAAGCCUCUAAGAGUACAUAAACGUCAUAACUAUCGGGAUAUACCCCGUCGUACCAAUAAAUUCAUGUCCAAAUUAUACUGACCAAAUAGGCAACUCCAGAGCAAAUGGAGUUCGCCGACACGCUCUGCUGAGCUGAUAGCCUAUUAGGAGGAUUGCCAACCUAUCUAUCGGAAUAUGCUGGCAUAAAAUGCAGCAUCGCAGGCAAAAGGGACGUCAGUACAAAUAAAGUACCGAGUAUGUAGGGCAUAAAAAUCAUUAUAUAAAACACAGGAAAGAAACAUAGAGUAAAGAACUCAACAUGUAUGUUUGAAUAGCUUUGUGAAUCAUGAAAUAUGUAUAAUGUCAUGCAUAUGUAUAAAUAUCAUAUCAUACAUAAGUAUAUGAGCAUAUAACAUCAAUCAAGCCUCCGAGGUCAUCCCAUUAUAUCAUCUCAGUUUCUGUGGGCGAAAUCAUAGAUGUAUAUCAGGUGGUGGUGCGUAUGUACCACAAUAACCUCUUUUCAUACCCCAUAUACAUCGGAUAUAUACAUAUAUAACGGCAUCUGGCCAUGAGUCAAUGUAUAUGUAUAAAUGAAUGCAAUGUAGAAUCAAGUAAGAUAAUAAGAUCUCUCAGAAUGUCAUAAAUUCAAUAUGUUUCGGUUAAAAUUUAUAAACUUACGUAUUUUCUGAGACCCAUGAACAGAUGAUAUAAUAAUAGGAUACAUGGGGAAUCAAGAACAUAGGCACCCAUAGUACUUCUAUAAAUAGAGUCAUUUAUGAAAGUUAUGCAUUUGCUCGUUUUGUAUAUAUCACAUGAAUCAUUCCAAAGAAAAAAAGUAUAGUCUUAACCCACUAGCACAAGAGCUCAACUCGAAUUCAAUUCACGAUCUAUACAAUUAACAAGAAUAAUACUAUUAUACAACCAUAUGAACAAUUUUCUUAAUCGCAUAACGGAAGAUAACCUAUCCCACAAUGAAAUGGAUAGUAUUUUCCAUGUUCUUAUUAUUCCCUCAAGCCUUCCGUGGGCAAGGUAAUACAACAAUACAGCUAGCAAUUCCAAUAACAAUUUUCACAACCCAAACAAUGAUACAACGAGCGGAAAGAUCGGCUACGAUUAUCAACCACACUUCUACAAUCUUUUCUUUCCUUCAAAAAACAUAUCGAUGACUACACCAACAGUAUACUCAAGUUAGUCCAACAAAUUCCAGCCAUAAAAAAACUUAGAAAAUUAUCGAAUAGUCAAUACAACAACAACGUCAAAAUAUGAUUUUUCACUAUUAAUUUCAUAAUUAUCAUCACACAAUUUAGCAACGACCUAGACGAAUUUAAAUAUACCAAGGAGAGAAAACUUCUUACCUUAUUUUCCAUGAAAAACUAUUAUUCAACCUUACUUCACAUUGAAGAAAGCCCGGAUUAACCAGCACGCCAAAAUAGAAUAGGAUAUCGAGGUGGUGCGCAAAACUCAUGUAUUGUCAUUGAGAUUACACUUUGCUUUCAUAAAAUUUUGAGCUCAUGUUGCCGAAAAUCAUCUCAAUUUAAAGUUCAUUGCUGCUGCACUAUGUUGAACCUAUCUAUUCUUCAACUUCAUUCUCAAAUCAAGUGAAACAAGAGACAUAAUUGUAACCUUUUUCUAUUUCAUAUGUCCUCCUUAGCUUCUCUCUUGA
rnacentral:lncRNA from 1 species